GUGCCAGCAGCCGCGGUAAUACGUAGGUGGCAAGCGUUAUCCGGAAUUAUUGGGCGUAAAGCGCGCGUAGGCGGUUUUUUAAGUCUGAUGUGAAAGCCCACGGCUCAACCGUGGAGGGUCAUUGGAAACUGGAAAACUUGAGUGCAGAANGANGGAAAGUNNGGAAUUCCAUGUGUAGCGGUGAAAUGCGCAGAGAUAUGGAGACGCCAGUGGCGAAGGACUUUUGGUCUGUAACUGACGCUGAUGUGCGAAAGCG
rnacentral:rRNA from 1 species